rnacentral:rRNA from 1 species
UGGGGAAUAUUGGACAAUGGGGGCAACCCUGAUCCAGCCAUGCCGCGUGAGUGAUGAAGGCCUUCGGGUUGUAAAGCUCUUUUGGCGGGGACGAUGAUGACGGUACCCGCAGAAUAAGCCCCGGCUAACUUCGUGCCAGCAGCCGCGGUAAGACGAAGGGGGCAAGCGUUGUUCGGAAUUACUGGGCGUAAAGGGCGCGUAGGCGGUUUGCUUAGUCAGGCGUGAAAGCCCUGGGCUUAACCUGGGAUGUGCGCUUGAUACUGGCAGGCUUGAGUGUGGGAGAGGUUGGUGGAAUUCCCAGUGUAGAGGUGAAAUUCGUAGAUAUUGGGAAGAACACCGGUGGCGAAGGCGGCCAACUGGACCACAACUGACGCUGAGGCGCGAAAGCGUGGGGAGCAAAC